rnacentral:lncRNA from 1 species
AUGUACAGCAUAAACACAAAUUCUUCAGGAUUUUUAACAUCCUGUACUCACAGACAUAGUUUUGUUCAUUGUGGAUUGUGGAGAAUUUUGCAGAAAGACUCUGGCAUAGCCCAUUAUUGGCAUUGGAAGAAGCAGACUUCUACUAGAGACAUCAUAAAACCAGACAGCAAAAGCUCAGAUGAUUUAUAAUUUCACAGCAACAACCAAAAUCAGAUUUCAUUAAUAUGAAUCACUGGGUUUUUUAUAUAUUAUUAUUUCCAAUAACAUGUUUAUUAGAAAUAAUGUUCUUUGUGAAAGGAAGAUGAAAUUCAUAGACUGUCAGAAGGAUGAAGUUAUAAAUCUUUCCAUAACUACUCAUGCAAAAUCUGCACAAGUUCAGUGAUGGUUCAAGAGGAUUCCCAAAGGAGCAUGCCAGAAUUCUUUCACACAAGACAGAAGAGAACAGGAUUGCAGAGCUGAAAGUUGUAGGAAAACAGACAGGUAAGUCCACCUCUAUGUGUGAGGACUAGAACUACACAGAAUCCAUGUUUCCUUUGUUCUUUCAGGUUCUAGUUCCCACGUCAAGUCACAUUAUGCUCAGUGCAGGAUCUGACAGUUUAAGUCAAUACAUCGCCCUUUUGCUUGAUUUUAUUUUUAGGCUGUUGUGAAAGGUUGUAGUUAAGAGCAAAAAGAUUUAGAUAUGGUUCAGACUUAUGCUAAACUUGUAAUAAUGGCAGAUCAGCCUCAGAAGUAAUAUUAGACCUUUUUCUAAGUAUUAUUAAAUGCAAAAGGAUAAGAAUUUUAACCACAGAAACACUUGAUGUUUGAAAUGAGACUUUCUCCCAAGCUGCUAUAUACAAUUAAAACCAAGAGGUGGCCUUUGCAAGGGGAGAAGCAAUUUAAGACAUUAUCAUUUUAGUUUUCAAACAUUUACCUGCCUCCCUAUACAAUACACCUUUUUCACUUCCAACAUUGUUAAUGGAUCUGUACUGAGGCAUCCAACAAGCAAUCACAUGGGAGAAAAUAUUUACUCCAGUAGUAGGUGGAGAGCUUAUUCAGCAUGUUUCACAGACACAGAAAAAGGGAUGGGAGUAUCUAACUUUCAUGUAAAAGGUCAUCCACUGCUCUGUUUCAUAUCUCACUAGGAGUUUAUUUAGCAUCACCCUUUGUCCCUGAAACAAUCACAUCUUGAACUAGAAGUUGCUGAAGA